GGCAGCGACGACGUCCCGAUCAAGCCCCUUCAGUUGAUGGCUCAAGCGCACAACGCCUUGGCCGACGUCGGUUUCCUGUGCUGAAUUCCUAACGGAUGGCAAUCUAUCGUCCACCAACGUCCCGUACUCCUCCCCUCGUCGUGGAUCCGCAAGGAGACGCGGCGCGGGGAGGACAUCAAAGCCCCCGUCGUGUAUCGAAACCCACGCGGCCGCUCGCACGGUCGCGCCAGGGCUGUCGACCCACGACGUCGUGCUCGAUCUCUCGGAUGCGGAAAACCAAGCGGCCACGAGGCCACGGCCUCCGCUGCCCCUUAACAAGAGCGUCCCACGCUCCCUGCGGACGACUGCCGGCCGGGUCUUGGCCCGGAGCCCCA
rnacentral:misc_RNA from 1 species